GGGUUUUUUUGGGGUUUCUUUGGGAUUUCUUUGGAAUUUUUUUGGGAUUUUUUUGGGAUUUUUUUUGAAUUAUUUUUAAAUUUUUUGGGGAUUUUUUGGGGGAUUUUUUGGGAUUUUUUGGGGAUUUUUUUGGGAUUUUUUUUAGAUUUCUUUGGGAUUUUUUGGGAUUUUUUUCAGGAUUUUUUGGAAUUUUUUUGGGGAUUUUUUGGGAUUUUUUGGGGUUUUUUGGGGAUUUUAUUUUGGAUUUUUUUGGGAUUUUUUGGGGGAUUUUUUGAGGAUUUUUUGGGAUUUCUUUGGGAUCUUUUUGGGAUUUUUUUUUUAUUUUUUUUGAAUUUUUGGGGGAUUUUUCGGGGAUUUUUUUGGGGAUUUUUUGAGGAUUUUUUGGGGAUUUUUUUGGGGAUUUUUUGGUGGAUUUUGGGGUGAGGAAAUGAGGAUUUUGGAGUGUGGGGGAGGGGCCAGGUGUGUCCAGGUGUGUCCCCAGGUGUGUCCAGGUGUCCCCAGGUGUGUCCCAGGUGUCCCCAGGUGUGUCCAGGUGUAUCUCAGGUGUCCCCAGGUGUAUCUCAGGUGUCCCCAGGUGUAUCUCAGGUGUGUCCCCAGCUGUCCCCAGCUGUGUCCCAGGUGUGUCCCCAGCCCCCCCAGGUGUGUCCAGGUGUGUCCAGGUGUCCCCAGGUGUAUCUGAGGUGUCCCCAGGUGUGUCCCCAGGUGUUCCAGGUGUGUCCCCAGCUGUGUCAGGUGUAUCCAGGUGUAUCUCAGGUGUCCCCAGCUGUUCCAGGUGUCCCCAGGUGUGUCCCAGGUGUAUCUCAGGUGUAUCUCAGGUGUAUCCAGGUGUCCCCAGGUGUCCCCAGGUGUAUCUCAGGUGUGUCCCCAGCUGUCCCCAGGUGUCCCCAGGUGUCCCCAGGUGUCCCAGGUGUCCCCUGUCCCCGCAGGAAGAUCCAGGAGGAAUCUCUCCGCACGUACCUGUUCACCUACAGCAGCGUCUACGACUCCAUCAGGUGGAUUUGGGCUGAAAAACGGGGA
rnacentral:lncRNA from 1 species